rnacentral:rRNA from 1 species
UCCAGACUCCUACGGGAGGCAGCAGUGAGGAAUAUUGGUCAAUGGACGGAAGUCUGAACCAGCCAUGCCGCGUGCAGGAAGACGGCUCUAUGAGUUGUAAACUGCUUUUGUACAAGGGUAAACCUGAAUACGUGUAUUCAGCUGAAAGUACUGUACGAAUAAGGAUCGGCUAACUCCGUGCCAGCAGCCGCGGUAAUACGGAGGAUCCAAGCGUUAUCCGGAUUUAUUGGGUUUAAAGGGUGCGUAGGCGGAUUGAUAAGUUAGAGGUGAAAUGUCGGGGCUCAACCCCGAAACUGCCUUUAAUACUGUUGGACUAGAGAAUAGUUGCGGUAGGCGGAAUGUAUGGUGUAGCGGUGAAAUGCUUAGAGAUCAUACAGAACACCGAUUGCGAAGGCAGCUUACUAAACUGUGACUGACAUUGAUGCUCGAAAGUGUGGGUAUCAAACAGGAUUAGAUACCCCAGUA